AUGAUGAAAUAAUUACAUAGGCAUUUAUAUUUUCUUUAAUAAUAUUUGUUUAAUAUUGUACCUAUUUUCUCGGUUUUUAUACGGUUUUUCUCGAUUUUUCCCAAUUGAUCGCCUAUUUAUUAUGAAGACAGCUGAGAAAAUCAAAAAAUGGCCUUCUUAAAGUACCAUUUCUAUUAAAUUUAUUUCCAGAAAAAGUGCUAUAUUUGAAAAUCGGACCAAAAUUGCUGGAAGAAAAGUUGUCCACAGAACAAAAAUAAUAUUGUAAAACCAUUACCUACAUUCCUCGCUCCGCUCAGAAUCUAAAAGUUCGAGCCACGAGUAGUUGAAAUAUAACAUUAAUUGUUAUCGUUUCCUAUUUAUUUCGUAGAAAAAAAUAUUUGUUUAACCCAUAGGUAUAGUACAACAGAAUAAUAUAAUAUAUUUUAAAAUCCGGUACUAUAUUAAUGGAGAGUAGUUUGAGUCAAUCGAUGAUUACUGAGUGCUGGCUGUACAAACCAGUUAAACACGAAAUGUCUCGAAAAAUUCCGAGCGAUAGGUAAUGUUAUAAACGAUUUAUAUUUUGAUAAAACAAAUUGAACUUAAGGGCAACAUAGUAAACAUAACAGACCUAUUAUAAUAAAAUGAAGAUUAAUAAUCCGAUUUAUGUUUCGUG